rnacentral:rRNA from 1 species
UUGCAUGGCUGUCGUCAGCUCGUGUCGUGAGAUGUUCGGUUAAGUCCCGCUAACGAGCGCAACCCUUGUCGUAUGUUAUAUGUGUCAUACGAGACUGCCGGUAAAAGCCGGAGGAAGGUGAGGAUGAUGUCAAGUCAGCAUGACCUUUAUAUCCAGGGCUACACACACGCUACAAUGGUCUGUACAAUGGGUAGCCAAGCCGCGAGGCGGAGCCAAUCCUGAAAGCAGGCCUCAGUUCAGAUUGCAGUCUGCAACUCGACUGCAUGAAGCCGGAGUUGCUAGUAACCGCAGGUCAGCAAUACUGCGGUGAAUACGUUCCCGGGUCUU